GACGGUUGUGGGAUUGUUCGAUGGCCUUGGAAACACUACGGUGGGUUUAGUCGAUAACGGGUUGAGGUGUUCUUCCCCCCCUGGACACCGAGAGGACAACACGCGAACCCGUUAUCGAAGCAGAGGUCCCGAUCGACGUGUUGUCCCGAUGUGCCGAUCGACAGUUCAGAUUUUGUAGGCAACGAUCGGCCGACCCGAUUGAUGGUAUUGGUAUUGUGGGAAAUGAUCGACCGACCCGAUUGAUGGUUUUGAUUUUGUGUGAAACGAUAGACCGACACGAUUGAAGGUUUAGAUUUUGUGGGAAAUGUUGGACUAAACCGAUUGACGGUCUUGAUUUUGUGGGAAACGAUGUACCGACCCGAUUGACGGUUUUGAUCUGAUGGGAAACUAUGUAUCGACCCGAUUGACGGUUUUGAUUUUCGCAUCGCGCGGUGCUUUCCUUGGAUCCAACUUCGGCUAAAGGUUGCAUUCUUGGCCUUUGUGCUAGGAUGUGGCUAUUAGUUGGGUGGUUUUAGGGAUUGUCGAUCGUAAAGGUGCAUGAGUUGUGUUUGGUUUGUUGCGUGUCGUUGGCUGUCUGCUUAUGCAGCAACGUCGACACGUGCAGACUUCUUCAUCUAUUGUGAAAGCGUGCUUUGCUUUUGCAUGUUGUGGGUUUCUAGCGUUGUGUUCCUGAAUUGUGGCAUUUUAUGGUUUGAACGACGUGUCUUUAAUCAUGUCACACAUAUGUGUGCCAUGUGAAAAGGCAUGAAGCUAUCUCUUCGAUCCAUUUCGUCUUCGUCUUUGGCGUUGAUGUUUUGGUCUGUUGAGAAAGCUGGUCUCAUGGAUGCGGUGCUUGACUCGGUGAUUUGGUUCUAUUAACCAUUUUGGUUGCCAUUACUAGAUGUUUUUGCCUUCUCCUUCAUAUGACCGUCCAUUGUG
rnacentral:misc_RNA from 1 species